rnacentral:rRNA from 1 species
AUUGAACGCUGGCGGCAUGCUUUACACAUGCAAGUCGAACGGCAGCGCGGGCUUCGGCCUGGCGGCGAGUGGCGAACGGGUGAGUAAUACAUCGGAACGUGCCCAGUAGUGGGGUAUAGCUCGGCGAAAGCCGGAUUAAUACCGCAUACGACCUGAGGGUGAAAGCGGGGGAUCUUCGGACCUCGCGCUAUUGGAGCGGCCGAUGGCAGAUUAGCUAGUUGGUGGGGUAAAGGCCUACCAAGGCGACGAUCUGUAGCUGGUCUGAGAGGACGACCAGCCACACUGGGACUGAGACACGGCCCAGACUCCUACGGGAGGCAGCAGUGGGGAAUUUUGGACAAUGGGCGAAAGCCUGAUCCAGCAAUGCCGAGUGUGUGAUGAAGGCCUUCGGGUUGUAAAGCACUUUUGGCGGGAACGAAAAGGACUGUGCCAAUACCACGGUUCGAUGACGGUACCCGCAGAAUAAGCACCGGCUAACUACGUG